rnacentral:other from 1 species
CAAAACCUGGGAUAUACGUUAUGUCUCGAUUUAGGACCCACGCAUUGUAAAAGGGUGAUCGCGUUCGUAAGCGGAUUGCAAGCUCACUACGAGUGAGAAGCGCGAAACUUACGGUAGAAUACCCACCUGCCUGAGAGGCGGGUUGCAAAACGGGGCAGACGGUAUCUUGGGAUAAUA